rnacentral:rRNA from 1 species
AGAGUUUGAUCCUGGCUCAGGACGAACGCUGGCGGCGCGCCUAACACAUGCAAGUCGAACGGAGAAGUUAGCAAUAACUUUUUAGUGGCGAACGGGUGAGUAACGCGUAGACAACCAACCUUACAGCGGGGGACAACACUUCGAAAGGAGUGCUAAUACCGCAUACGCUCCAGAUGCCGCCUGGUGUUUGGAGGAAAGGAGCUGUAAGGCUUCGCAAAAAGACGGGUCUGCGUCUGAUUAGCUAGUUGGAGGGGUAACGGCCCACCAAGGCGACGAUCAGUAGCCGGUCUGAGAGGAUGGACGGCCACACUGGGACUGAGACACGGCCCAGACUCCUACGGGAGGCAGCAGUGGGGAAUCUUCCGCAAUGGACGAAAGUCUGACGGAGCGACGCCGCGUGAGUGAUGAAGGCCCUUGGGUCGUAAAGCUCUGUCAUCAGGGACGAACGGUCACGUCAGGAAAUGGGCGUGAAUUGACGGUACCUGAGAAGGAAGCCACGGCUAACUACGUGCCAGCAGCCGCGGUAAUACGUAGGUGGCGAGCGUUGUCCGGAAUUAUUGGGCGUAAAGCGCGCGCAGGUGGGAUCUUAAGUCUGUUCUGAAAGUUCGGAGCUUAACUCCGUGAUGGGAUGGAAACUGGGAUUCUUGAGUAUCGGAGAGGAAAGCGGAAUUCCCCGUGUAGCGGUGAAAUGCGUAGAUAUGGGGAGGAACACCAGUGGCGAAGGCGGCUUUCUGGACGAUGUCUGACACUGAGGCGCGAAAGCCAGGGGAGCGAACGGGAUUAGAUACCCUGGUAGUCG